rnacentral:snoRNA from 1 species
ACGGCAUGAUGGGGACAUUUUCUGAUGAGGUCCGUCAAUCUUUCCCAUGACUCAAGGAACUGCUCACCAUCUUGCUGUGAGAAUCUAGUGAGAGCUUACCUU